GAGCUCCAGGGCCACCUGAAGGCCACAUGGGAGAUGCCCAAGGAUAUUGUGCUUGUCACCCUGAGCAAACUGUUCAGCACCUAUGCUCCACAGUGCAUCUCCUUUGUAAGGCUGAUGCUGGCUGGCCUACGCAGUGUGGUGGGCCGGGUGAGAAGUGGCCAAACUCUGCGCAUCGCUUGUGCUGUUGUGAAACAAUGGUUGGACGGAGUCAAGAUUCAAUUGUCCUCCGGAAAACAAUGCCCCUGGCCUGCCACAGAGAAAGAGCAA